ACCGGAAAAAGAAGAGUGGCGAACGGGUGAGUAACACGUGGGUAACCUGCCCAUCAGAAGGGGAUAACACUUGGAAACAGGUGCUAAUACCGUAUAACAAUCAAAACCGCAUGGUUUUGAUUUGAAAGGCGCUUUCGGGUGUCGCUGAUGGAUGGACCCGCGGUGCAUUAGCUAGUUGGUGAGGUAACGGCUCACCAAGGCCACGAUGCAUAGCCGACCUGAGAGGGUGAUCGGCCACAUUGGGACUGAGACACGGCCCAAACUCCUACGGGAGGCAGCAGUAGGGAAUCUUCGGCAAUGGACGAAAGUCUGACCGAGCAACGCCGCGUGAGUGAAGAAGGUUUUCGGAUCGUAAAACUCUGUUGUUAGAGAAGAACAAGGAUGAGAGUAACUGUUCAUCCCUUGACGGUAUCUAACCAGAAAGCCACGGCUAACUACGUGCCAGCAGCCGCGGUAAUACGUAGGUGGCAAGCGUUGUCCGGAUUUAUUGGGCGUAAAGCGAGCGCAGGCGGUUUCUUAAGUCUGAUGUGAAAGCCCCCGGCUCAACCGGGGAGGGUCAUUGGAAACUGGGAGACUUGAGUGCAGAAGAGGAGAGUGGAAUUCCAUGUGUAGCGGUGAAAUGCGUAGAUAUAUGGAGGAACACCAGUGGCGAAGGCGGCUCUCUGGUCUGUAACUGACGCUGAGGCUCGAAAGCGUGGGGAGCAAACAGG
rnacentral:rRNA from 1 species